AAACUUAAGAACAGAUUUUUCACUUAAUAAGCAAAAGCUUAGUGAAAUUCUUUGAGAGCAAAGAUGAUUUUCUUGAGCGUGAAAUAAUUCAGUAUAGUUUUGGCUAGUUGAUUUCUUGCUACUGAAUGUUGAUUGCAUCUCUAUUUAUAUAAGAGUUGGAGUAGAGUUGAAUCUGGUGGAUAUUAAACUGAGUUUACUCCAUCACUAAAAUAGCUUCUGCAGUUUAACUUU
rnacentral:lncRNA from 1 species